AGCAGCCGCGGUAAUUCCAGCUCCAAUAGCGUAUAUUAAAGUUGCUGCAGUUAAAAAGCUCGUAGUUGAAUUUCGGGAUCAAUAUGUUGGUCGUGCCUCGGUACGUACUAGCUUAUUGGUUUCUCCCUUCUGACGAACCAUGAUGUCAUUUAUUUGGUGUUAUGGGAAAUCAGGACUGUUACUUUGAAAAAUUAGAGUGUUUAAAGCAGGCUCACGCUUGAAUACAUUAGCAUGGAAUAAUGAAAUAGGACGUUUGAUUCUAUUUUGUUGGUUUCUAGGAUCGACGUAAUGAUUAAUAGGGAUAGUUGGGGGCAUUAGUAUUCAAUUGUCAGAGGUGAAAUUCUUGGAUUUAUUGAAGACUAACUACUGCGAAAGCAUUUGCCAAGGAUGUUUUCAUUAAUCAAGAACGAAAGUUAGGGGAUCGAAGACGAUCAGAUACCGUCGUAGUCUUAACCAUAAACUAUGCCGACUAGGGAUCGGAUGAUU
rnacentral:misc_RNA from 1 species